GGGGGGAAAGCGGGGCGUGCUGACCAAUACCUGCAGGAGGGUGUGCACUCGCCUUGCGGGGUCCCCGAGGCUUAGGCGCGCCCGGAAGGACAGGGAAGGGGACUACAGGUGCCGGCUAGCCACCUGCCUGAGAACGUGCGAGCCGGUACAAGAUUGGAUAUCAGUUCAUCUGGAUCAGAAGGUUUGAACAGGCCAAUGAGUAUUGUCAUCAUCGAGGCAUUUUAUGGAGGCUCCCAUCGACAGCUGGUAGAGCUGCUCCGAGAAGAAUUAGAUGACUGCGUGUUGUACACUCUUCCUGCAAAGAAAUGGCACUGGAGAGCACGCACAGCAGCCUUAUACUUCUCACAGAAUAUUCCCAGCAGUGAGCACUACAGGACCCUCUUUGCAAGCUCAGUACUCAACCUGACUGAACUGGCUGCCCUUCGGCCUGAUCUGGGAAAACUGAAAAAGAUCUUAUACUUCCAUGAAAACCAGUUGGUGUAUCCUGUCAAGAAAUAUCAGGAGAGAGAUUUUCAAUAUGGAUACAACCAAAUUCUCUCGUGUUUGGUGGCUGAUGUUGUGGUAUUCAAUUCCAGUUUUAAUAUGGAAUCAUUUCUUACUUCUAUUGGAAAAUUCCUGAAGCUGAUUCCUGAUCACAGGCCUAAGGAUCUGGAAAGCAUUAUCAGACCCAAGUGUCAAGUUAUUUAUUUUCCCAUCAGAUUUCCUGAUGUGAGCAGAUUCAUGCCCAAGCACAAAAUAGCCCACUUAAGGAGGAUGCUCAGCCUUAUUGGAGAUGCUGCUGCAUCUCAGUCUGUGGCGCCUUGUCCCCAGCCAGGGCAGAGGGUUUCUGAGAAGUCACCGGAGAACUGUGAAUCAAAGUCUGAUGAACACCCUGACCUUGAUGCUGAACAAGAAGCCCUGGACAACCCAUCAGUCCAUAAAUCAGGCUCUCUUCCUGUGAGUAAAGAAAACCUGCCUCUUGAUCCCAGCACCCUUCUGUGUGGAGCUGAAGAUCCGCAAAGACCGCUGCACAUUACAUGGCCGCACAGGUGGGAGCAUGACAAAGAUCCAGAGACGUUCUUAAAGAUACUAAUGAGUCUAAAGCAGUUAAACUUGAACUUCCAUGUCUCUGUCCUCGGAGAGACUUUUACAGACACACCAGAUAUAUUUUCAGAAGCCAAAAAGGCACUGGGCUCUUCAGUCUUGCACUGGGGCUACUUACCCCGUAAAGAAGACUAUUUCCGCGUACUGUGCAUGGCUGACGUUGUCAUCUCAACAGCCAAGCAUGAAUUCUUUGGAGUAGCAAUGUAAGUCUUCUCGUCUAGGAUGUGUGGUGGAACAGUCUGGAAGCAGCUUUACUAAGUGAAGCUUUGCUAACAGUGAACUUCCAGAAUGCAGAGCGCAGUGAUCAGGAAGAAUACAGUGGAGUCUCACCAUCUUUGGUUGGAAGCUGUGUACUGUGGCUGCUACCCACUCUGUCCCAAAGCCUUGGUCUAUCCUGAGAUCUUUCCAGCUGAGUAUCUGUAUUCCACACCUGAACAGCUUUCAAAACGGCUCAAGAGUUUCUGCAAGAGGCCAGAUAUUAUAAGAAAACAUCUUUAUAAGGGUGAAGUGGCUCCAUUUUCUUGGGCAGCCCUACAUGGUAAAUUCAGGUCUCUGCUCACAACAGAACCCAGGGAAGAUUUGUGACAGAUGGGGCUAAGUCGCAAACUUGCAGCCUAAGGCAGAAUCUGAAGAACUUUCCAGAGUGUGCCCAUAUUUACCUGAUCAGAGAGAAAAGAAAAUCUGCAGAGGAAGCCGAGCCUGGCUGCUUGUCAUAGCUGACACAGAGCCAUCUGCCACAAACCUGUGGCGGCUUCAGAUCUCCAAUCCCUGCCACCACCCCAACUCAAAUUAAAUACAGAUUCCUAGAGACGUUAUGAUGGUUACACAUGUCCUCGGCAUCACAUGUAGGAGACUGUUCAAAAAAAAAUCUGUGGCCUGUUGUAUAACCGCACUCAUGUAUCCCAUAUGUGGUGCCACAUUGAAUUUCCGGUUGAAUCCGUUUUUAUCCUUUGUACUGGAUGACACGGAGCCUGAAUUCUUUCUUUCUGCCGACACGAUGGCAGCCAAACUGCAGCUUCAAACACUCACACUUGGCUGAGUUUCUACCUGGGUUGCCAGGUUAUCAUCGGAGCCUUCUUGUGUCCUCAAAGGGCCACGGGGCCUAGAAAGAGGAUCAGAAUGCUACUGAACUAAUUGGGCAGCCAUCUCAAAGCUGCUGUAGGCAAAGGGCUGCUGUAGCACUUUUCUUUUAGCAAAUUAAUGACUCUCUGGCAAAGGAGUGUUUAAGUGAAGGCAUUAAUAAGGGCUCUGGCAGGUAUUCCCAUGAUUCUCAGAGUUCCAUUUGCAUUGAAUUAAUCUUAAAGAAACUUGCAAGAUAAACAGCUGGAAUUCGGACAAACAUGGCAGAUUCAGUGAGUGAAGUCCUCUCAUCCAUAAAAUGAACACGAGAUACUUGUUUUAAAAUUUUUUCCCUGUGGGUAAAAAUAGAAAAAUCAGAAUGCUUAUAACAAAACAUAAUUUGGUACAAAAUUCUUCAAAAUACUUGUAUCCAACUAUAAAUAUAUUCUUCUUGAGAUAAGUCACUUACGAUUCUUGCUCUGUUUGUUGGUGUAAAGAUGUUUUAAAUGGCUGGAUUGUAAAAUACAUUUUUAAUAAACUGCCCGCUGCAAUUUUAAUUAGCAUAUUCA